rnacentral:rRNA from 1 species
AUACGGAGGGUGCAAGCGUUACUCGGAAUCACUGGGCGUAAAGCGCGCGCAGGCGGCUAUUUAAGUUGGAUGUGAAAGCCUACGGCUCAACCGUAGAACUGCAUCCAAAACUAUUUAGCUAGAGUGUGGGAGAGGAAGAUGGAAUUAGUUGUGUAGGGGUAAAAUCCGUAGAGAUAACUAGGAAUACCAAAAGCGAAGGCAAUCUUCUGGAACACUACUGACGCUGAGGCGCGAAAGCGUGGGGGGCAAACAGGAUUAGAAACCCCAGUAGUCC